AUGUCUUAUAGUGAAUUUGUUUGUAGCAAUUUAUGUCAUAUCACAAUAAGAAUACAAAUCCAGAGGAAAUAAUUGUUUUCAGGCGAUACAGAGGAGUUUUCGGCGACAAAGUUGAUCAAGUGUCAUACAUUCUAUAAAGACUUUUCAAGUCGGGGAGCAGUUGUUUAUCCUAAUUAACCUUACUACGAAAUGUAAUUGGUUAAUGUAGAUAUUCCUCAUGGCAGGUAAUAAUACAACUAUAAAACCUGAUGUUGACAACCAGCCUUCCAACGUUCUGUUAGCUGUGUCUGCUUUUCUGCUGAUAGUAUCCGUAAUGGCUGGAAUUCUUAUUUGCAUAAUACGUCAAAGGAAAGUGGGCACCAUUGAUGAUGACGAAAUCGAAUUAGAAGAACCUAAUUGCGUUGACGAAACAACUAAAUUAACUGGAGAUAAAAACACACUUUGACAUUUCAAUACAAAAUAGCUGUGUCUAGUGUUACAUUCAGAAACUCAGAAGUAAGACUAUAGUAAUUAAUCUCAACUUCAUAUACAAGUCGUAUAGACAACAAAUAUUUCCAUACACAAUAUGAAGUAAGGAUACGCAAUGAUAGAAUGCCUUACAAUAUGUUAAUUAUCAAUACAGGUAUUUUAACUCUAUGAUAAUCGUUUGCCUUUUUAGUGAUUGAAAUCCAAUAUUUGUAUUAUGUUAAAUGAAUUUCUUAUUCGGUAACGGUCAAGUGCAAUAAAUGACCAAAAGUUCAUGUGACACAAAGUGAAGUGCGGCGUUUUCUAGAACCUUAAUGUUAAGAGUAGCCUGUUUCAAGGAAAUUUAAUUAGAAUGGGAUCGAGCAGUAUUUGUCAUCGCCUAAAAUAUUUAUUUUAUCAGUUUAGACAUAAUUUCAUAAGCAUGAUAGAUUAAGUAGAAGAUACCAUUCAAUAUAAUAUAUAAGAUAUCACUUUUACGUUAGGCUAGGAAUGUUUGAUCGUUUGAACUUUAAUGAUGUUUUUUUUUUUUUGGAAUCAUACAUUUUGUUUAAAACUGCAGUUUUCUAUUCUAAUUUCAAUUCUAUUUCAGUUAUGUGACUUUGGUUCCUAUGUUUGGUACAUGCAUAUGUAAUGGGGAAAACAUAUCCUUAAAUCAGUAGAAUUUUCUCUGUUAUUACAUGAAAUUUAGAUGCAUCGAUAAACAGUUUUUCAUAUGUUGUUUCAAUGUAGAUCUUGUAGUAUGAAUUAAAUAUAUUUAAAUAAUC